rnacentral:rRNA from 1 species
UACAGAGGUCUCAAGCGUUGUUCGGAUUCAUUGGGCGUAAAGGGUGCGUAGGUGGCGCGCUAAGUCAGGUGUGAAAUUUCGGAGCUUAACUCCGAAACUGCAUUUGAUACUGGCGUGCUUGAGGACUGGAGAGGAGACUGGAAUUCACGGUGUAGCAGUGAAAUGCGUAGAGAUCGGGAGGAACACCAGUGGCGAAGGCGGCUCUCUGGACCGGUUCUGACGCUCAGGCGCGAAGGCGUGGGGAGCGAUCCGG